AUGGCAGAGAAUGGAGAUCCUCGCCCCAAACUUGCCGCUAGUUUGCCUUGCCUCCCUGCGACGGCUCCGCCGCUCAGGCCGCCCGGAUGCGCCAUUCUGCCCACGGUCGCGUCUUUGCCACCCCCCGCCCCCGUGCAGAGGGGCAGCGUGCGGCCGUUCGUUUGGUCAAGGAGGUGGGCAAUUAUGGGUGGUCUGGCGAGGAGGCGGGCGUGUAUCAACGGGCGCGGCGUGCCGCCGCGCGGGCUCCGCUAUCACCGCCAACCAGUAGUAUGUGAUGCACGGCGGAAAGAGGUCGUCGAGCAGUCACGCGCUGGAGGCUGGGAUGCGCGUCCCGCUGCUGACGUUCUCGCCAACUUCGGCAUCACUCCUACCCAGCUCGCAUCGAAUGGGUGGCGCAUCAUGGCGGGCUUCCUCGCCCUCUGCCAUUCCGACGGCAUGCCGCCGGACGGAACGCGGCAGGAGGAGGCUCUCCCGCGCGGGGACGGUGCGGCGUGGGCGGGAUAUGGUUGCUGGAGUGGUCGCUGGCAGUGGGGCUGCCCGACGGCGGCGAGAGGCGGCGGUGAGUUGUUGUUGAAAUUGGCGCGUGAUGCAUCAGUCCGUUUGGGCUGGUUAGAUAGACUUUCACCGAGUUCAGCCUUUCUUGGCCCAUAUCAAUGUGCGCUGGGAGAUAAGAAGGCACGGCACUCUGGUAGAGGUCCAGCUCCUAGCAGGCAGGCGGGGCGGCGACCACCACGGCGACCGGCGGCUACGCAGGUGCGUUCCUCCCCCCUUCCCCUCUCUUCCCCACCCCUUCUCCCGUCGCUCCCUAGCCUUCUUCCCCAUCUGUGCUCACAUGGAUCGGUCACCCUGUGCCACGCCCCUCUAGUCGGCGGUGGCUCAGGACCGGCACUCCCCGCCGUCCUACCCGCACGCGGUGCUCCGCCCUCCUUAGCCACGCGCCACCGCCUCACUUUGCUACGCCCUCCAUUCUCCACGAUGGCCAUAGGAGCUGCUGCUCCUUUUCUGCACAAACUACAGAUCCACCAUGGGUCCAUGGCCGUAGGAGCUGCUGCUCGUUUUGUGCAGCCACAACUGCUCCGCCAUGGAUUACGGAAGUUUUGUCGAUCUGCUGGCCGAUUCAAGAUAAGUGAACUUUACAGCUCUGUCGAUCUGCUGGCCGAUUCAAGAUAA
rnacentral:rRNA from 1 species